rnacentral:rRNA from 1 species
UACGGAGGGGGCUAGCGUUGUUCGGAAUUACUGGGCGUAAAGCGCACGUAGGCGGCUUUGUAAGUUAGAGGUGAAAGCCCGGGGCUCAACUCCGGAAUUGCCUUUAAGACUGCAUCGCUCGAAUUGUGGAGAGGUAAGUGGAAUUCCGAGUGUAGAGGUGAAAUUCGUAGAUAUUCGGAAGAACAUCCAGUGGCGAAGGCGACUUACUGGACACAUAUUGACGCUGAGGUGCGAAAGCGUGGGGAGCAAACAGG